rnacentral:rRNA from 1 species
UACGAAGGGGGCUAGCGUUGCUCGGAAUGACUGGGCGUAAAGGGCGCGUAGGCGGAUGGCACAGUCAGAUGUGAAAUUCCCGGGCUUAACCUGGGGGCUGCAUUUGAUACGUGUGAUCUAGAGUGAGGAAGAGGGUCGUGGAAUUCCCAGUGUAGAGGUGAAAUUCGUAGAUAUUGGGAAGAACACCGGUGGCGAAGGCGGCUCACUGGACCGGUUCUGACGCUGAAGCGCGAAAGCGUGGGGAGCAAACAGG